rnacentral:rRNA from 1 species
GAAACCGGAGCUAAUACCGGAUAAUAUUUUGAACAGCAUGGUUCAAAAGUGAAAGACGGUCUUGCUGUCACUUAUAGAUGGAUCCGCGCUGCAUUAGCUAGUUGGUAAGGUAACGGCUUACCAAGGCAACGAUGCAUAGCCGACCUGAGAGGGUGAUCGGCCACACUGGAACUGAGACACGGUCCAG